GGUUAAGUGAAUAAGGGCGCACGGUGGAUGCCUUGGCACUAGGAGCCGAUGAAGGACGGGACUAACACCGAUAUGCUUUGGGGAGCUGUAAGUAAGCUAUGAUCCAGAGAUUUCCGAAUGGGGGAACCCAGCAUCUUUUAUAGGAUGUUACUUUUCAGUGAAUACAUAGCUGAUUAGAGGUAGACGCAGAGAACUGAAACAUCUAAGUACCUGCAGGAAGAGAAAGAAAAUUCGAUUCCCUGAGUAGCGGCGAGCGAAACGGGAAAAGCCCAAACCAAGAUGCUUGCAUCUUGGGGUUGUAGGACUCCAAUAUGGUAGUACGAUCAGAUAGUCGAAUGACUUGGAAAAGUCAGUCAAAGAGGGUAAAAACCCCGUAGACGAAAUUUGGUAUGCACCUAGGAGGAUCCUGAGUACGGCGGAACACGAGAAAUUCCGUCGGAAUCCGGGAGGACCAUCUCCCAAGGCUAAAUACUCCCUAGUGACCGAUAGUGAACCAGUACCGUGAGGGAAAGGUGAAAAGCACCCCGGAAGGGGAGUGAAAUAGAUCCUGAAACCGUGUGCCUACAACAAGUCAAAGCCCGUUAAUGGGUGAUGGCGUGCCUUUUGUAGAAUGAACCGGCGAGUUACGAUUGCAUGCGAGGUUAAGCUGAAGAGGCGGAGCCGUAGCGAAAGCGAGUCUGAAUAGGGCGUUUUAGUAUGUAGUCGUAGACCCGAAACCAUGUGAUCUACCCAUGUCCAGGUUGAAGGUGCGGUAAAACGCACUGGAGGACCGAACCCACGUACGUUGAAAAGUGCGGGGAUGAGGUGUGGGUAGCGGAGAAAUUCCAAUCGAACUUGGAGAUAGCUGGUUCUCUCCGAAAUAGCUUUAGGGCUAGCCUCGGAUUUAAGAAUGAUGGAGGUAGAGCACUGUUUGGACUAGGGGCCCAUCUCGGGUUACCGAAUUCAGAUAAACUCCGAAUGCCAUUCAUUUAUAUCCGGGAGUCAGACUGUGAGUGAUAAGAUCCAUAGUCGAAAGGGAAACAGCCCAGACCACUAGCUAAGGUCCCAAAAUAUAUGUUAAGUGGAAAAGGAUGUGGGGUUGCACAGACAACUAGGAUGUUGGCUCAGAAGCAGCCACCAUUUAAAGAGUGCGUAAUAGCUCACUAGUCGAGUGACCCUGCGCCGAAAAUGUACCGGGGCUAAACAUAUUACCGAAGCUGUGGAGUGUACCUUUGGUACACUGGUAGGAGAGCGUUCUAAGGGCGUUGAAGGUAGACCGUGAGGACUGCUGGAGCGCUUAGAAGUGAGAAUGCCGGUAUGAGUAGCGAAAGACAGGUGAGAAUCCUGUCCACCGAAUGACUAAGGUUUCCUGGGGAAGGCUCGUCCGCCCAGGGUUAGUCGGGACCUAAGCCGAGGCCGACAGGCGUAGGCGAUGGACAACAGGUUGAUAUUCCUGUACUCGUUGUUUUUGUUUGAGCAAUGGAGGGACGCAGGAGGCUAAGGAAUGCAGACGAUCGGAAAUGUCUGUCCAAGCAACAAGUCUUAGUGAGAGUCAAAUGCUUUCACUUUCAAGGACAAGUUGUGAUGGGGAGGGAAAUAAUAGUACCGAAGUUCCUGAUGUCACACUGCCAAGAAAAGCUUCUAGUG
rfam:Enterococcus sulfureus ATCC 49903 acyDF-supercont2.3, whole genome shotgun sequence.